AUUAAACGCUGGCGGCAUGCCUUACACAUGCAAGUCGAACGGCAGCACGGGGGCAACCCUGGUGGCGAGUGGCGGACGGGUGAGUAAAGCAUCGGAACGUAUCCUGGAGUGGGGGAUAACGUAGCGAAAGUUACGCUAAUACCGCAUAUUCUGUGAGCAGGAAAGCAGGGGAUCGCAAGACCUUGCGCUCUGGGAGCGGCCGAUGUCGGAUUAGCUAGUUGGUGGGGUAAAGGCCUACCAAGGCACACAGGGGGAUAGG
rnacentral:rRNA from 1 species